rnacentral:misc_RNA from 1 species
GAUGAAGAACGCAGCGAAAUGCGAUACGUAAUGUGAAUUGCAGAAUUCAGUGAAUCAUCGAAUCUUUGAACGCAUAUUGCGCUCUCUGGUAUUCCGGAGAGCAUGCUUGUUUGAGUAUCAGUAAACACCUCAACUUCCAUAUCUUUUUUGAAAUGGGAGUUGGACUUGAGUGAUCCCAACGCUUUUCCUCACCGAAAAGUGGCGGGUUACUUGAAAUGCAGGUGCAGCUGGACUUUUCUCUGAGCUAUAAGCAUAUCUAUUUAGUCUGCCUAAAAAACAGAUUAUUACCUUUGCUGCAGCUAACAUAAAGGAGAUUAGUUCUUGUGCUGACUGAUGCAGGAUUCACAAAGACAGGCUUCGGCCGACUUUGUAAACUCGAUCUCAAAUCAAGUAAGACUACCCGCUGAACUUAAGCAUAUCAGUAAGCGGAGGA